GUGUCUCUGUCUCUGUGUGUGUCUCUCUCUGUCUCUGUCUCUGUCUCUCUCUGUCUGUCUCUCCCUCCUCCCUCCUUUGCCCCGCCAAGUAUUUUACAGAAAGUCUUUAUAUCCCUAUUGGAUCUCACCUUUACUCAACCACAUUUAGCCUCGCAUACUUCUUUGCUCCACAAGUCAUAGCUUUGCCCCCCUCUGAACUAAGAACACGUUAAGGAUAGGGAUUGAGUAUGUGUGUAUGUGUGUGUUCUAGUCUUUGUAUGCUCAGUGCUUAGCACAGAGAAGGCAACUGAUCACUUUUCCUGAAUUGCUUGACUAUCAUUAUUUAACUUACAACAAUGAGGAAGGGGACACCUGGAAGUCCAACAGACACUCACCGCCGUACUUGCAGUCCAGAGAUUUCGGCACGGUCUAUCUUCCUCGAUGCUCUCCCAUCUUCCCUCCUACCACUAAAAGGAGAGAUCCCAUUCAAAGGGGUCUAAUUCGAUUUUCAAUGAGAAGAGAGUGCCUGGGCUACUGGGGAGUCGUGGUCAGAAGAAAGAGGAGAGGGAGGUGGGGCAGACCUUCAGUUGGACCUUUCAUGCAUAGACUGGCAUGUGUAUCACGAGGAGUUAAAAUAGGGGCAUCGUGGCUAAGAGUAGGGGACACCUCUGUGUUGGGAGACAGAAAAACAAAGAGGACACGAGAGGAGGUGGGAGGGAGGAAAAGGAGCAUUGAGAGAGAGAAGGAAAAGGGAACAGAGAAGAAGGGGAGGGAAGGAGGGAGAGAAAGAGAGAGGGUAAUGGCAGGGAGGGAGACCUGGGCUUGGCUAGUGCUAUUCGUGGAGAGUGUCCCUUUUGUCUUUCCCUAUUACACGAUCACUCCAUUGUCGCAAACAUGUGCAAUGACAAUCAGCUAGCUGUCUUUGCCUGGAGACAAAACCCAUCACCAAAGUACCUAGACCCAAGAAUCCAGUGUUAAAUUGAGCAGGGAGCUCCCUAAAGUACAUGAUGCCAAUUCACUGAGGAGUUCCGGUGGCUGCUGUUCGCCCUCUCUUUGAGUGUCUCCAAGAAUGAAGGGAUAGGAAGGGACGAGUUCACUAAGUAAGUCCCAGAGUGGUGAUUGUCAAGGCAAGCACAAAAUUCUAUCCAGGCAGAUCCCUCCUCACGCAGGGAGUUCACAAGCUAGACAAGAUUCUGAUUACGUUGAGGUCGGGGUAGCGGUGCCUGUCAUUUGCAAUCAGAAGGUCAUCUUCACGAUGCUCAAAGUCUCUGGGCUUCCCCAGUUCAGAAAGGCUUCCACGUCCUAUUCAGUCUCUCCUUCAGGCUUGAGAAAAGUCCAUUUCCCAUCAGCCACCUUGGUGAGAAGAGAUUAGAUACACAAUAAUUCAAUUUGUGGUUUUGUGUUACAAACUAUGACUCAUUUUACACAAUUAUAUGUCAUGCUGCACUUGGGAAAUCCAUGCAUUGCCAAAACCCUGAGCAGUCUGGGCAAUGUAUAAGAGCAGAAUGACUGAAAGAAGGAGGAAAACCAGCCCUUUUUAGUCCAGGAGGGAUGGAAAGAGCUGAGGCCAGCGGAGGCUAGUUGAGGCCAGCUUUUCUAAUCCGCUGGCGACUGAAAAGUAGGACCUCUGUGUGCCACCAGCUAUUCUCUUCCCACUGGUAGCAUCCCAUCCAAAGAAGGGAAUUCUAAGAAAGGAGGCCAAUGCCCUGGGUCCUGGGCACUCUAUGCCUCUGCAGGCCAUUUCAUGAUCACCUGCCUGCCUGCAACAGGAGAAAACGGAGGCUGCUCUGAUUUUAUUUUUGGAUUUCCUCACCGCUUUAUAUUUGCACACAAUUAUGCUUUUUUACUUUCAUACAACACUGUGUUCCACUUUAGGAAGACUUAAAUCUUGGCUUUAAAAUAACUUCAACUUUCUA
ensembl:lncRNA